GAUGAACGCUGGCGGCGCGCUUAAGACAUGCAAGUCGAACGGAACUUAGCCGAAUGUUUACAUGAGGCGAAAGUUUAGUGGCGGACGGGUGAGUAACACGUGAGCAACCUGCCUUCGAGAGUGGGACAACAGAGGGAAACUUCUGCUAAUACCGCAUAUGACCACAGUACCGCAUGGUACAGGGGUGAAAGGAGCAAUCCGCUGAAAGAUGGCCUCGCGUCUGAUUAGAUAGUUGGUGAGGUAACGGCUCACCAAGGCGACGAUCAGUAGCCGGUCUGAGAGGAUGAACGGCCACAUUGGGACUGAGAUACGGCCCAGACUCCUACGGGAGGCAGCAGUGGGGAAUAUUGGGCAAUGGGGGAAACCCUGACCCAGCAACGCCGCGUGAAGGAAGAAGGCCUUCGGGUUGUAAACUUCUUUUACCAGGGACGAAGAACGUGACGGUACCUGGAGAAAAAGCGACGGCUAACUACGUG
rnacentral:rRNA from 1 species